rnacentral:rRNA from 1 species
AUUGAACGCUGGCGGCAUGCUUUACACAUGCAAGUCGAACGGUAACAGGCCGCAAGGUGCUGACGAGUGGCGAACGGGUGAGUAAUGCGUCGGAACGUGCCCAGUCGUGGGGGAUAACGCAGCGAAAGCUGUGCUAAUACCGCAUACGAUCUAUGGAUGAAAGCGGGGGACCGUAAGGCCUCGCGCGAUUGGAGCGGCCGAUGUCAGAUUAGGUAGUUGGUGGGGUAAAGGCCUACCAAGCCGACGGUCUGUAGCUUGUCUGAGAGGACGACCAGCCACACGGGGGAUGAGACACGGCCAAGACUCCUACGGGAGGCAGCAGUGGGGAAUUGUGGACAAUGGGCGCAAGCGUGAUCCAGCAAUGCCGAGUGCAGGAAGAGGGCCUUCGGGUUGUAAACUGCUUUUGUACGGAACGAAACGGUCUGGGUUAAUACCCUGGGCUAAUGACGGUACCGUAAGAAUAAGCACCGGCUAACUACGUGCCAGCAGCCGCCGUAACAC